AGUUUGAUCAUGGCUCAGAUUGAACGCUGGCGGCAGGCCUAACACAUGCAAGUCGAACGGUAACAGGAAGCAGCUUGCUGCUUCGCUGACGAGUGGCGGACGGGUGAGUAAUGUCUGGGAAACUGCCUGAUGGAGGGGGAUAACUACUGGAAACGGUAGCUAAUACCGCAUAACGUCGCAAGACCAAAGAGGGGGACCUUCGGGCCUCUUGCCAUCGGAUGUGCCCAGAUGGGAUUAGCUAGUAGGUGGGGUAACGGCUCACCUAGGCGACGAUCCCUAGCUGGUCUGAGAGGAUGACCAGCCACACUGGAACUGAGACACGGUCCAGACUCCUACGGGAGGCAGCAGUGGGGAAUAUUGCACAAUGGGCGCAAGCCUGAUGCAGCCAUGCCGCGUGUAUGAAGAAGGCCCUCGGGUUGUAAAGUACUUUCAGCGGGGAGGAAGGUGUUGAGGUUAAUAACCUCAGCAAUUGACGUUACCCGCAGAAGAAAGCACCGGCUAACUCCGUGCCAGCAGCCGCGGUAAUACGGAGGGUGCAAGCGUUAUCGGAAUUACUGGGCGUAAAGCGCACGCAGGCGGUCUGUCAAGUCGGAUGUGAAUCCCCGGGCUCAACUGGAACUGCAUUCAAACUGGCAGGCUAGAUUUGUAAGGGGGUAAAUUCCNGUGUAGCGGUGAAUGCGUAAAAUCUGGAGAUACGGNGCAAGGGGCCCUGACA
rnacentral:rRNA from 1 species